rnacentral:rRNA from 1 species
UUGUCCGUACUGAUGUGAUGGGUUCUUACCUUCUGAAUAACCAGCAUGUCAUUAAUUUGGUGUGUUGGGGAAGCAGGACUAUUACCUUGAAAAAAUUAGAGUGCUCAAAGCAGGCUAGUGCCUGAAUACAUUAGCAUGGAAUAAUAAAAUAGGACGGCAUGGUUCUAUUUUGUUGGUUUCUAGGAUCACCGUAAUGAUUAAUAGGGAUAGUUGGGGGCAUUAGUAUUCAAUUGUCAGAGGUGAAAUUCUUGGAUUUAUUGAAGACUAACUUCUGCGAAAGCAUUUGCCAAGGAUGUUUUCAUUAAUCAAGAACGAAAGUUAGGGGAUCGAAGACGAUCAGACACCGUCGUAGUCUUAACCAUAAACUAUGCCGACUAGGGAUCGGACGAUGUUAAUUUUUUAAUGACUCGUUCGGCGCCUUACG